rnacentral:rRNA from 1 species
UGCGCAGGCGGACCUAUUAGUCAGUGGUGAAAUCCCGGGGUUCAACUCCGGAACUGCCAUUGAUACUGUAGGUCUUGAGUUUGGUUGAAGUGGGCGGAAUGUAGCAUGUAGCGGUGAAAUGCAUAGAUAUGCUACAGAACACCGAUCGCGAAGGCAGCUCACUAAACCAAAACUGACGCUCAGGCACGAAAGCGUGGGUAGCGAACAGGAUUAGAUACCCUGGUAGUCC